rnacentral:rRNA from 1 species
UAAUACGGAGGGGGCUAGCGUUGUUCGGAAUUACUGGGCGUAAAGCGCACGUAGGCGGCGAUCCAAGUCAGGGGUGAAAGCCCGGGGCUCAACCCCGGAACUGCCCUUGAGACUGGAUUGCUAGAAUCUGGGAGAGGUGAGUGGAAUUCCGAGUGUAGAGGUGAAAUUCGUAGAUAUUCGGAAGAACACCAGUGGCGAAGGCGGCUCACUGGACCAGUAUUGACGCUGAGGUGCGAAAGCGUGGGGAGCAAACAGG